rnacentral:rRNA from 1 species
GGAAUAUUGCACAAUGGGCGAAAGCCUGAUGCAGCGACGCCGCGUGAGGGAUGACGGCCUUCGGGUUGUAAACCUCUUUCAGUAGGGAACAAGGCCAGCAUUUUUGUUGGUUGAGGGUACUUGCAGAAGAAGCGCCGGCUAACUACGUGCCAGCAGCCGCGGUAAUACGUAGGGCGCAAGCGUUAUCCGGAAUUAUUGGGCGUAAAGAGCUCGUAGGCGGUUUGUCGCGUCUGCCGUGAAAGUCCGGGGCUCAACUCCGGAUCUGCGGUGGGUACGGGCAGACUAGAGUGAUGUAGGGGAGACUGGAAUUCCUGGUGUAGCGGUGAAAUGCGCAGAUAUCAGGAGGAACACCGAUGGCGAAGGCAGGUCUCUGGGCAUUAACUGACGCUGAGGAGCGAAAGCAUGGGGAGCGAACAGGAUUAGAUACCCGAG